rnacentral:rRNA from 1 species
GGGUCAGUAGGUUGGUCGUGCCACCGGUACGUACUGGUCUCACUGAUUCCUCCUUCCUGAAGAACCGUAAUGCCAUUAAUUUGGUGUUGCGGGGAAACAGGACUGUUACUUUGAAAAAAUUAGAGUGUUUAAAGCAGGCUAACGCUUGAAUACAUUAGCAUGGAAUAAUGAAAUAGGACGAUCGAUCCUGUUUUGUUGGUUUCUAGGAUUGACGUA